UGUUUAGAAACUGUAUUAUUGCAUGUUAAUGUUAUGAGGAAUUUGCACUUACAAUUAAGGAACACACACCCUAUGUGAGAAAUUUCUUGGAAAGUUCUAUGCUUGGGUUCACAAAAAAAAAAAAAAAAAAAAUCCACAUUACCUUUCUCUCUCUUUCAUUUUUGCAAUCUUAAGAUGAUUAAAUGUGCAACAUUAGGGUAUUCUUUUCAAAUGGGUUUAUCUAUUUUCUUUCAUAGACUUUGUUACAAACUGAUUUGACUUUUGUCUCUUGAAGGUCUCAAGGAAAAUUGAUAUGUUCCAAUUUCUUUUAUUUUUCACUGUCAAUAUCUAUCUACAUGUUCAAUUUCUUAAAUAGUUUACUUCCUUCAUGUUCCUAAGUGACAAGGUCAAUGAUCUUACUUUAUUGAAUUUUAGAUCCUCUUUCUUCAUUAAUUUACAUCACCAUCUAAAAUCUUGCUUGUAUUGACAUUAAUUGUAAUUCCAGUAGGAUCUAAGGCAUGACAUAAAAGAGAAUAGUCAUAAUUGUAGUCUUUGGAGCUAAUUUUAGCAGUCACUGUCAAUAUGCCACAUUUGUGAGAAGAUAUAUUCAUUACUAUCAUUAGAUUAAUUCUUUGUGGAACAAAUUCAAGGUGUCUAUUAUUGUUGGCAUGUAAUGAUAAUUUGUUAAUGAGUAAGAUAAAUACAAUCUGACUAGCAUAGAGCAUAGCAGCAAAUUGGGGUUUAAGAAUCCAAAUUAGGCUUCAGAAGAUGCUAAGAAAUUGGUUAAAUGGAAGUUGAUGCUUUGGAACCCUGAUUGUUGCAAUCAUGGUUUUGGUGCAUCUCUCAAAGAGUUUUUUGACUUGAUGCUGCAGUGUUAUAGUGGAAGUUGAUGCUUAUCUAAUACAUAGUCCAUUCAACUAUGUUUUUUUGGUUAUAUUCUUAUGCUUGUUGCAGUGAUUGAUAAUAAGUAGUAAUUUUCUUAAUCUGAGUUAUGUCCACAGAUAUUCUUUGACAUUAUUGAUUUCUUAUGUGGCAAUGUGCAUGUUAGAUGAGUAAUAUUUCAUGAGGCAGUUCCUGAUGUUAAAUUGUUUGUAGAAGAUGCUUGUUGCUUACUGUUGUUUGUUUUGUCCAAUAUUGUUAGGAGCUUGACGAACUUCUGGAGGAGGUUCAAGAGGCUAGAAGAAUUAAAUUGUUGCAUCAGCCCAGCAAGGUGAUUGACAUGGAACAUGAGCUUCAAGCUCUACGCAUGCAGAUUCGAGAAAAGUCUAUAAUUUCGGUUAAGCUCCAAAGAGAGCUGGCAAUGAGCAGGAGGGCUGAGGAGAACAAGUUCCGUGUAUAUGAGUUCUGUGGUUCUGAAACUUUAGGUUCAGCUUUGCGAGUUCAACCUUGCUCAGAUGAAGCUCAAGACCUGUCAAAAUGUUCAAUCCAGUGGUAUCGUAAACCGACUGAAGGUAGCAGAAGGGAACU